CCUACGGGCGGCUGCAGUGGGGAAUAUUGCACAAUGGGGGAAACCCUGAUGCAGCGACGCCGCGUGAGUGAAGAAGUCCUUCUUUAUGUAAAGCUCUAUCAGCAGGGAAGAAAAUGACGGUACCUGAGUAAUAAUCCCCGGCUACCGACGGACCAGCAGCCGCGGUAAUACGUGGGGGGCAAGCGUUAUCCGGGUUUACUGGGUGUAAAGGGAGCGUAGACGGCAGUGCAAGUCUGGAGUGAAAGGCGGGGGCUCAACCCCCGGACUGCUGUGGAAACUGUACGGCUGGAGUGCAGGAGAGGUAAGUGGAAUUCCUGGUGUAGCGGUGAAAUGCGUAGAUAUUAGGAGGAACACCAGUGGCGAAGGCGGCUUACUGGACUGUAACUGACGUUGAGGCUCGAAAGCGUGGGGAGCAAACAGGAUUAGAUACCCUUGUAGUC
rnacentral:rRNA from 1 species